rnacentral:rRNA from 1 species
CUUGUACACACCGCCCGUCACACCAUGGGAGUGGGUUCUACCUUAAGCCGGUGGGCCAACCGCAAGGAGGCAGCCGUCCACGGUCGGAUUCAUGACUGGGGUG